UUCAACAAUGAAGAGUUUGAUCCUGGCUCAGGAUGAACGCUAGCGACAGGCUUAACACAUGCAAGUCGAGGGGCAGCGAUAGGUAGCAAUACUGAGUCGGCGACCGGCGCACGGGUGAGUAACGCGUAUGCAACCUGGCCUACAGAGGGGGAUAGCCCGGCGAAAGUCGGAUUAAUACCCCAUAAAACAGGGGAUCCGCAUG
rnacentral:rRNA from 1 species